rnacentral:ncRNA from 1 species
AACAUAAAGUUUUGGUCCUGUACUUAUUGCAUCUUUUAAUCAAAAUUACACAUGCAAGUAUCCACACACCAGUGAAAAUGCCCAAACCAACAAAAAAGGAGCCGGUAUCAGGCACGAAUUUCAGCCCAAGACACCUUGCUAUGCCACACCCACACGGGACACCAGCAGUGAUAAACAUUAAGCAAUGAGCAGCCCCCAAACUCGACUUAGUUAUGAUUAUUAGGGCCGGUCAACCUCGUGCCAGCCACCGCGGUUAUACGAGGGGCCCAAAACAGCAAACCCCGGCGUAAAUCGUGGCUAGAACACAGUGCGCCACUAGAGAGUCAAACUAUAAUCUAACCGUAAAACCCAGAUUAAAUGAAAACCCCUCCCUCUAUAAACCAGCAGCUUUGACCCCACGAAAACUAAGAAACAAACUAGGAUUAGAUACCCUACUAUGCUUAGUCAUAAACACGACACCACUUAACAACAGUGUCCGCCAGAGAAUUACGAGCGAAAAGCUUAAAACUCAAAGGACUUGGCGGUGCUCCAUACCAACUUAGAGGAGCCUGUCCUAUAACCGAUACUCCACGUUAAACCUUACCAUCUUUUGCCCCCAGCCUAUAUACCGCCGUCGCAAAUUCACCCCGCAAGGGCCCAACAGUAAGUACAACUGCUACCCCCAAAAACGUCAGGUCAAGGUGUAGCUAAUAAGAUGGCAGAGAUGGGCUACAUUUUUUAAAAUAAAACACCACGGCAUGGGACUAUGAAACACCCCCUAAAGGCGGAUUUAACAGUAAAAAAGGUAAGAAAGCCUUCUUUAAACUCGCUCUGGAGCGCGCACACACCGCCCGUCACCCUCCUCAACACCUGAUAAAAACUCCAUAAACCCCCAAACAAAACAAGAUGAGGCAAGUCGUAACAUGGUAAGUGUACUGGAAAGUGCACUUGGACUACAAAAAGUAGCCUAACACAAGGCACCUAACUUACAAUUAGACCACAUUAGAAUCUUUUUGCGCUAAAAAUCUAGCUCAACCACUAACACAAAAUAAUUGCACAUCAAACAAACCAUUUGACAAGACUAGUAGAAGCGAUCAAAC